GACGAACGCUGGCGGCGUGCUUAACACAUGCAAGUCGAGCGGUGCGGCGAACGGGUGAGUAAAGCGUGAGUAACCGCCCCCCUCGCUGGGAUAACAGUUGGAAACGGCUGCUAAUACCGGAUAGGGUGGGAUGACUCGCGUCCUAUCAGCUUGUUGGUGGGGUAGUGGCCUACCGAGGCGACGACGGAUAGCCGGCCUGGGAGGGCGACCGGCGACAUUAGGCUGAGAGACGGCGCAAACUCGAACGGGGGGCAGCGGUGGGGAAUAUUGCACAAGCGGGGAAAGCCUGAUGCAGAAACGCGCGUUCGGAAUGACGGCCUUCGGGUUGUAAACGGCAUUCAGCCAUGACGCGGUACUGGCAGAAGAAGCACCGGCUAACUACGUGCCAGCAGCCGCGGUAAUUC
rnacentral:rRNA from 1 species